rnacentral:pre_miRNA from 1 species
UUAUUACUCCCUCCGUCCGGAAAUACUUGUCAUUGAAAUGGAUGUAUCUAGAUGUAUUUUAGUUAUAGAUACAUCCAUUUUCAUCCAUUUUGAUGACAAGUAAUUCCGGACGGAGGGAGUACUAC